UGGACCGCAGUGUCGACUCUUGGAAUUCAACCUGCCGUAGCGCGGGACGAUGCUGGGAUAAUGCCGGAGCUUCCAAAGCCCGUUUCUCGGCGUCGGUCUCCGGUCGGUCUGGUGCACUUUCUUCGAGUCGAGAGCCACGACCGGCUCUUUGGCGGCCAGAAGCCUGGCUGGGAAGGUGACCUCCGGCCUCGGCUGGCGGAGUUUAUAGCCCAGCUUGCGUUGGCUCGUCGGAGGGCCGAGGAAAAGCUUUGCCGCGACUCGUCGCCUUCGGGCCAUCUGCGCUCGUCACGACUGGGGUGGACUGCUCGCCAGUGCUCUCCCGACCGCGAGCGUGGAAGGGUUCGUUUCGGCGUGAGUUGCUUCGGGCCCGUGGCGAAUCGGUCGGUCACCCACCCGACCCGUCUUGAAACACGGAC
rnacentral:rRNA from 1 species